rnacentral:tRNA from 1 species
GCCUGGCUGGCUCAGUCGGUACAGCAUGCGACUCUUGACCUCGGGGUCAUGAGUUCAAAACCCAUGUUGGGCA